rnacentral:tRNA from 1 species
GGAUUGUGGCUCAGUGGUAGAGUAUUCGCCUAGCAUGUUCGAGGCCCUGGGUUCGAUCCUCAGCACCA